CUUCACCUACUGGCUGACCUCCAACCUGUUCUCCCUGGGUCAGGUGGCACUGCUGAAGCACCCGGCCAUCCGUCAGAGGCUCAGAAUCCCGGAGCGCAUCACACACCCCCCCUCCGCCCUGCCCCCCUCCCCCGGCUUCUUCAAGACCAUCCAGACUGGCUGGACAAACGCUAAGCUCGCCCAACAGCUGGAGGAGAGAGAAAGGAGGAUUAAAAAUCACCUGGAUAUCGCAGCCAAAGGUCCUCUCAGGCAGACAUUCUCCAAUAAUCCUUUGCAACAGACUAGCGGGCCCAGCGUGGCAGCCAGACAAGCCGAUCAAAGCCCAGCUGCACAGCCAGUGGGUGGGAAGAAGAGGCCGUGGGAAGAGACGAUUGGAUAAGGGCUGGAGAGUGGCAGCUUGUAUAUAAUGUACAGAGAAUGAGACGUGUAUACAGAUGCAGAUUCAGGAUUGGCUGCCUCCCUGCUGUGGGCUGGAACGGUUUAUGAAUGCUUUAUAGGGAUUGGCUGCCUCCAUGCUGUGGGCUCGGCUGAUGAACACUUACACUGACUUUUGCAACUCGUCCCACAUUCAGUGUAUGUGAAGAAGUGUGUCUUAACUGGAGGGACUCAUACACUCACACACGCACACACACACUCGCACAUCCAGUGUGCAACCAGGCAACUGUACUGCCUUCC